AGAGGAGGGAGAAGGUGACCCCGGAAUGUCCUGAGGAGCCCCGGAGGGAUGGUGGGAGAUGGCAGAUGAAGGAAUGAUGGGAUCUCUCCGUGGAAGGAGGCUGGAAUGGGUGGAAAUCAUCGAGCCUCGGACCCGGGAGCGCAUGUACGCCAACCUCAUCACGGGGGAGUGCGUGUGGGACCCGCCCGCCGGGGUGCGGAUCAAACGCACCAAUGAGAACCAGUGGUGGGAGCUCUUCGACCCCAACACCUCCCGCUUCUACUACUACAAUGCCACCACGCAGAGGACGGUGUGGCACCGUCCCCAGAACUGCGACAUCAUCCCGCUGGCCAAGCUGCAGACGCUGAAGCAGAACACGGAGUCGCCGCGGGCUUCCACGGAAAACAGCCCCGGCAGGAGCAGCAAUGUCAGCAGGGAGGGGAGCACCAGCUCGUCCUUGGAGCAGGAGCUGGAGGGCAACGAGAAGGUGCAGGAGCAGCGCUCGAGCCGCCAGUCCAGCCAGUAUUCCGUGGUGAAGGAGGAAACGGAAAGCUCGUCGCCUUCCGGGGUGUUCGAGAAGGAAUACGACAUUUAUCGGGAUUACAGCGCGGAAGGACAACUCCUGCACUACAGGACCUCAUCCCUCCGAUGGAACGCCGGCACCAAGGAGCGGAUGCUGAUCAAGGUGACGGAUCGGGAGCCCAGCUUCCUCCUCCACCAAGGCAACGGCUACGCCCCGGAAAACCAACCCGGCUCCCGCUCCCGCCGGCCCUCGGGCGGCCAGCAGUCGCCCAACCUCCAAACCUUCUCCUCGGACGCCGACAACUCCGUCUUCUUCCCGGAGAGGAAGCAGUCGCCCUUCCUGAAGAGGGCCGAGCACGUGGGCAGCUGCUCGCCGCUGCUGGGCCGCGGCGAUUCCUUCUGCUCGCCGCUCCAAGCGCAGCACCGCAAACAUUCCAGCGAAUCGCAGCCCUCGUCGCCCCGCUACGCCUACGAGCCCCCGCUCUACGAGGAGCCCCCCAUGGAAUACCAGGCUCCCAUCUACGACGAGCCGCCCGUGGACAUGCAGUACGAAGCCAGCGGCAGCUACAAGGCCGGCUCGCCGCAGAAAUCGCCCAUCCGCAAGCCUCACCCUUUCCUCCAGUCGCCCAAGCAAGGCUCCAACUCGCCCUACCAGCAGUUGGUGCUCACCAAGCAGAAGUGUCCCGACCGCUUCAUGAGCCUGGAAUACAGCCCGGCCGGCAAGGAGUACGUCCGGCAGUUGGUCUACGUGGAGCAGUCGGGCUCCAGCCCCAAGAUGAAGACGGGCUUGAGGCACAAAUAUUCCCCCAACCCCAUUGGCGGCUCCUACUCGCUGCAGCACAGCCCCUGCCUGGUGCGGGAUCAGCGCCUGGAGAUCAAAUCGGGCGACUACAGCAGCAUGGAGGGACCCGACUUCUGCCCCGGCCCUGCGGGGGCCCAGGUGGCCCAGGGCGAGGACUCCAUGUCGUGGUCCAGCCAGCAGGACACCUUGUCCUCCACCGGUUACUCGCCCUCCACCAGGAAGAGGAAAAGCCGGAAGCCUUCGGUGAACCACGACGCCAACGCCUCCUCCACGGACGGCUCGGGGGAGCGGGAAGUGUUGGGAGAGCUGGGUGAGGAGCGUGCCGCGCCGGGGCCCAACAGGUCGCCGAUGAACCGGACGGAGAGCAAGGCGGCCGAGGCGGAGGCGGCGCGGGGCUUCCCGGAGCCGUUCCUGGCGCAGGCGCGCCUGGCGUGGGAAGCGCAGCAGGCUCACUACCACAUGAAGCAACGGAGCAGCUGGGAUUCCCAAAAGGACGGUUCGGGCUACGAGAGCGACGGGGCCCUCCCGCUGCCCAUGCCGGGCCCGGUGGUGCGAGCCUUCAGCGAGGACGAGGCGCUGGCGCAGCAGGAGAACAAGCACUGGAAGAGGAACACCUUUGAGAAGCUGGGCUUCCCCCAGAUCCUGCUGGAGAAGAGCGUCUCCGUCCAGACCAACCUGGCCUCCCCCGAGCCCUACCUGCAUCCAUCUCAGUCCGAGGACCUCGGCGCCUGCGCGCAGUUCGAGAGCAGCCGGCAGACGCGGAACAUGAUGCCGAGCGCCAGCUGCGUCUUCCCCACCUUCAACCUGCGCAAGCCCUCCUCGGAGACGGACAUUGAGAACUGGGCCUCCAAGCACUUCAACAAGCACACCCAAGGGCUCUUCCGCCGCAAGGUCUCCAUCGCCAACAUGCUGGCCUGGAGCAGCGAAUCCAUCAAGAAACCCAUGAUCAUGACCAACGACCGCAACGUCAAGAAGGAGGCGUGCGAGAUCUUCAAGCUCAUCCAGAUGUACAUGGGCGACCGGCGGGCCAAGACGGACCAGCUCAACGUGGCCUUGGAGAUCGCCACCAAAGGUUGGAGCAUGCAGGGGCUGCGAGACGAGCUCUACAUCCAGCUGUGCCGGCAGACCACCGAGAACUUCCGUUACGAGAGCCUGGCGCGCGGCUGGGAGCUCAUGGCCAUUUGUCUGGCCUUUUUCCCACCCACUCCCAAAUUCCAUUCCUACCUUGAAGGAUACAUUUACCGGCACAUGGAUCCGGUGAAUGACACCAAAGUCUCGCGGCACCUGCGGCACCUCCUGGCGAGGACCAAUCAGAAGAAACCCAAAUUGCGCAAGAAACCCAAGCCCCAGAGCGAGGAGAUCCCGGGGGUGGCCAUCAGCACUUACGCCAAGUACUGCUACAACAAACUGCAGAAGGCGGCGCUGACCGGGGCCAAGAAGGGCCUGAAGAAGCCGAACAUCGAGGAGAUCCGUCACGCCAAGAACGCCGUCUUCAACCCGUCCAUGUUCGGCAGCUCCCUGCAGGACAUCGUGGCCAUGCAGAAGGAGCGGUACCCGGACCGGCAGCUGCCCUGGGUGCAGACCCGGCUCUCCGAGGAGGUCCUGGCGCUCAACGGGGACCAGACCGAGGGCAUCUUCAGGGUCCCCGGUGACAUCGACGAGGUCAACGCCCUCAAGCUGCAGGUGGACCAAUGGAAGAUCCCCACCGGCUUGGAGGACCCGCACGUUCCCGCGUCGCUGCUGAAGCUGUGGUACCGCGAGCUGGAGGAGCCGCUGAUCCCGCACGACUUCUACGAGCAGUGCAUCUCCCACUACGAGAACCCCGAGGCCGCCGUCGCCGUCGUCCACUCCCUGCCCCGGAUCAACAAGAUGGUGCUGUGCUACCUCAUCCGCUUCCUCCAGGUCUUCGUGCAGCCGGCCAACGUGGCCGUCACCAAGAUGGACGUCAAUAACCUGGCCAUGGUGAUGGCCCCCAACUGCCUGCGCUGCCAAUCGGACGACCCGCGGAUCAUCUUCGAGAACACGCGCAAGGAGAUGUCCUUCAUCCGUGUCCUCAUCCAGCACCUGGACACCAGCUUCAUGGAGGGCGUCCUAUAGCGGCUGCCACCGCGCCGUCCCCACCCCGCCACCGGCCCCCUGUCCCCUCCGAGGGUCAAAGUCCCCAGGUGGUGGCACCUAUCUCCACCAAGAAACGGGAGAUCCGUGAGGUUCUCCACCACGUGGUGAGCACCAUGUCCACCAAGAACCGGGAGGUCUGUGAGGUUCUCCAAAUUCACCAUGUGGCGAGUUCCAUCAUCACCAAGAACAGGUCUGUGAGGUUCUCCACCACGUGGUGAGCUCCAUCUCCAAGAACCGGGAGGUCUGUGAGGUUCUCCAAAUUCAUCAUGUGGUGAGUUCCAUCUCCACCAAGAACCGGGAGGUCUGUGAGGUUCUCCAAAUUC